UUAGGAAUCUGUCUAUUAGUGGGGGACAACAUUCCGAAAGGAAUGCUAAUACCGCAUACGUCCUACGGGAGAAAGCAGGGGAUCUUCGGACCUUGCGCUAAUAGAUGAGCCUAAGUCGGAUUAGCUAGUUGGUGGGGUAAAGGCCUACCAAGGCGACGAUCUGUAGCGGGUCUGAGAGGAUGAUCCGCCACACUGGGACUGAGACACGGCCCAGACUCCUACGGGAGGCAGCAGUGGGGAAUAUUGGACAAUGGGGGGAACCCUGAUCCAGCCAUGCCGCGUGUAUGAAGAAGGCCUUAUGGUUGUAAAGCACUUUAAGCGAGGAGGAGGCUACUGAGACUAAUACUCUUGGAUAGUGGACGUUACUCGCAGAAUAAGCACCGGCUAACUCUGUGCCAGCAGCCGCGGUAAUACAGAGGGUGCGAGCGUUAAUCGGAUUUACUGGGCGUAAAGCGUGCGUAGGCGGCUUUUUAAGUCGGAUGUGAAAUCCCCGAGCUUAACUUGGGAAUUGCAUUCGAUACUGGGAAGCUAGAGUAUGGGAGAGGAUGGUAGAAUUCCAGGUGUAGCGGUGAAAUGCGUAGAGAUCUGGAGGAAUACCGAUGGCGAAGGCAGCCAUCUGGCCUAAUACUGACGCUGAGAUACGAAAGCAUGGGGAGCAAACAGGAUUAGAUACCCUGGUAGUCCAUGCCGUAAACGAUGUCUACUAGCCGUUGG
rnacentral:rRNA from 1 species